AGGGGAUAUAAAGAAAGGCAAAACCAAUCCCUAUCCACAAGGAGCUCACAUCCAAAUGAGGGCUACAACACGUAAACAACAAGGAGGUGUCAGUGUCUGCCAUGAAAGACCCUUGGCUUUAGGUCCACCCCUCUGGAAGGUUAAGGAGGAACAACAAUACCCAGCCCUUUGACCAAAACGAAGUAGCGAUACUGUAUACUUUUGAAAGCUUUCAUAUACGUCAUCUCAUUUGACUCUUACAAUUCAAUUAAAUUUAGCAAACAUUUAAGCCCCUACUAUGUGCCAGGCACUGUGUUAAGCACUGGAGACAUAAGGACCAAAACAAGCCAAUCCCUGCCUUCAAGAAAUGUACAUUUUUCCUGCUUCGAGUCAAACAAAUGAGACUCAGACUGCCAGCAGGACAUCUCUACAUGGCUGUCACAGUGACAUCUGCAAAGCAACAUUUCUUUAAAAAAAAAAAAAGAACUUUAGAAUUGGAAGGAACUUUCAGAUCA